UUAGUCACAGUUUGUCAUCACUUACUGUUAAUAAUAUUUAUGGUGUUAAGUUGCAAUUAGCUUGGAUUGUGAAAUAAUAAUUAACUCAGCAGGAUCUUGCAUGACUGACACAAACAUCAAUAAAUGGAACAAAUAGCACAGUAAAGUCAGAAGCCACCAGAAUCCCAUCUCCACCAUUAACCCCAAUCACUGUGUAAUCAACCAACAAAUGGGUGAAAAUAUUCAUCAUCACUUCAGCAAGAGAAGGACGUUUGGCAGCAGCCAUAUAGAAGGAAACAGACAUUUAAACUACAGGGCAUAAUCAAAAGCAACAUCACUUGUUUCCUGUUAAAGGGAGAGGACAUUAUAAAUACAAAGGUUAACCUGACAAGUAUGGUCCAGUAGAGCAUUCUGCAUUUCAUCAAACAUCAAGACAAAGUGCUACGUGGGCCACUGGUGCAACAGGUUGAGUGAUUAACACCCCAGCUGGACUACCUGAUGAUCAACCGCUCUCAAUUGCUUGGGCAAAUUUGGCUAAAUGGAGGACAGGCACCCGUGGGCUUCAGUGAGCGAAGUUCAACUCGCCAGGUGCUGCUGGACAGUCCAAUCCAUCUAUUUUUAAUAUUCAGUCCAAAUGCUUCAAGUUGUUAACGAGGGAAGAGUGAUGAAGAACACACAUGGAAAGAGAAUGUCCAGUUUUACAAGGUACUUGGAAGAACCACCC